AUUGAACGCUGGCGGCAUGCCUUACACAUGCAAGUCGAACGGCAGCACGGGUGCUUGCACCUGGUGGCGAGUGGCGAACGGGUGAGUAAUAUAUCGGAACGUACCUUAUCGUGGGGGAUAACGCAGCGAAAGCUGCGCUAAUACCGCAUACGCCCUGAGGGGGAAAGCGGGGGACCGUAAGGCCUCGCGCGAUUAGAGCGGCCGAUAUCUGAUUAGCUUGUUGGUGGGGUAAAAGCCCACCAAGGCGACGAUCAGUAGCUGGUCUGAGAGGACGAUCAGCCACACUGGGACUGAGACACGGCCCAGACUCCUACGGGAGGCAGCAGUGGGGAAUUUUGGACAAUGGGGGCAACCCUGAUCCAGCAAUGCCGCGUGAGUGAAGAAGGCCUUCGGGUUGUAAAGCUCUUUUGUCAGGGAAGAAACAGCAGCUCUAACACAGUCUGCGAAUGACGGUAC
rnacentral:rRNA from 2 species